AGAGUUUGAUCCUGGCUCAGAUUGAACGCUGGCGGCAUGCUUUACACAUGCAAGUCGAACGGCAGCACGGGGGCGACCCUCGGUGGCGAGUGGCGAACGGGUGAGUAAUGCAUCGGAACGGUAAUCCUUCGAGUGGGAGGAUAACGCAGCGAAAGUUAGUGCUAAUACCGCAUAAGCUCUGAGGAGGAAAGACGGGGGACCGGAAAGGACCUCGCGCUGAAGGAGCGGCCGAUGUCCGAUUAGCUAGUUGGUGAGGU
rnacentral:rRNA from 1 species